GAUGAACGCUGGCGGCGUGCCUAACACAUGCAAGUCGAACGAAGCUUGACGGAUGAUUUCUUCGGAAUGAAACCAGAUAUGACUUAGUGGCGGACGGGUGAGUAACACGUGAGCAACCUGCCUUUCAGAGGGGGAUAACGGCUGGAAACGGUCGCUAAUACCGCAUGAUGUGUUCGGAUGGCAUCAUCUGAACAUCAAAGAUUUAUCGCUGAAAGAUGGGCUCGCGUCUGAUUAGAUAGUUGGUGGGGUAACGGCCUACCAAGUCUACGAUCAGUAGCCGGACUGAGAGGUGGAACGGCCACAUUGGGACUGAGAUACGGCCCAGACUCCUACGGGAGGCAGCAGUGGGGAAUAUUGCACAAUGGGGGAAACCCUGAUGCAGCAACGCCGCGUGAAGGAUGACGGUUUUCGGAUUGUAAACUUCUUUUCUUAGUGCCGAAGACAGUGACGGUAGCUAAGGAAUAAGCAUCGGCUAACUACGUG
rnacentral:rRNA from 1 species